rnacentral:rRNA from 1 species
GAUGAACGCUAGCGGCAGGCUUAACACAUGCAAGUCGAGGGGUAUGCCGAUUUAUCGGCAGAGACCGGCGCACGGGUGCGUAACGCGUAUGCAAUCUACCUUUCACAGAGGGAUAGCCCAGAGAAAUUUGGAUUAAUACCUCAUAGUAUAGCAGUUUCGCAUGAAACCACUAUUAAAGUUCCAACGGUGAAAGAUGAGCAUGCGUCCCAUUAGCUAGAUGGUAAGGUAACGGCUUACCAUGGCUACGAUGGGUAGGGGUCCUGAGAGGGAGAUCCCCCCACACUGGUACUGAGACACGGACCAGACUCCUACGGGAGGCAGCAGUGAGGAAUAUUGGUCAAUGGACGCAAGUCUGACCAGCCAUGCCGCGUGCAGGAUGACGGUCCUAUGGAUUGUAAACUGCUUUUAUACAGGAAGAAACACUCCCUCGUGAGGGAACCUUGACGGUACUGUAUGAAUAAGCAUCGGCUAACUCCGUGCC